AUAAAACAUGCUGCUUUUACUUGCUGAGAAUUGACAUUCCAAAAUUGAUGAGGAAAGAAGAUAGAACGCAAAACAAAUAAAGAUAAGAUCAUGAUACCACUAUUAAAACAUAAUUAAAAACUAGGCGAUGCUAUAUCUUCAUCGCUCGAUUUUAAAAAUUGAAGAUAAUAUUGAUAAAUCAAUUAAAACAAAUCGAUAAAUCGUGCAGUUACGAUUCAUAGUUGGAUACAAUUAUCAAAUUUUAUAUGAUAUCACUUUUAUGUGAUUCAGUUAGAAAAAUAUCAAGUUGAAGACAAGUUUAAUGGUGAGAUUAUCAAUUCAAGAAAAAUAUAAAUAAAUAUGUCGCGAUCUGAAAAAUACAGAAAGAACAUUAUGACAUGAUUAAGAACUGAAAUAUUGUGCGAAAUCAAAUAAAAAACUCAAAAAUAGAAUAAAGAUGUUAAUCGUUAAUAAAUAUAAGAAAUUGGUUGAAACUGUGAAUAAUCAAAUACAACAUCAAAUUGAUACAAAAAAAAAAUAAAAUAAUGAACGAUAAAUUUGUGCAUUAUCCGUGAAAUUAUAAAUAUAAAAAAGAGGAAGAAAUACAUACAUCAAUUGUUCAUAAUGUCUAUCAAAGCAAAGAAAAAAAAUUUCCAGAAGAAGAAAAAUAAAGAAAAUAGAAGAAGAAACGAUAGCAAUAGAAGCGAUAACAGCAAUGAAGCUCGCGUUAAUAAAUGUGUAAAAUGUACGGAUAUAUUUUUCGUAUUGUUCGAAGUACUUACACGACUUGUUUGCAUAUAAAAAAGUUAAGCAAGAAAAAGUGAAAAUUGAUAGAAGAGUUACAUACAUUUAUGAAAUGAAUUUUCUGAAACAAUGAUUUAUUGUUUAAUAAUUUACAACAAACGAACAUAAUUGGCGAAAAAUCGUAUAAAACAAAAUAGUGAAUUAUAGAGUAUAUUCUCGGUGUAUUUAGCAAGUAUGCAUAGAUCAUAUCUCUCAAGAGCAAAAACGGAAAGAAUUCAAUCAAUUUUCGAUUAAACUUUUUAUAACAAUAUUGCGUAAAAGUUUGUUCAAUUUACAAAUCGAUAUGAGAAAAAAAAUUGUACAAUUCUGAUUUUCAAAACAAAACACAUGAGUUAUUAUUAUUUUAUCUAUAAUAUUAUGAAAGCAUAGCUACGAUAUUAUAAUUGCAUGCUCAACAAUACAAUAUAGAAAUCUUACUGAUUGAUCAGCAUUUAUCGUUGGAUUGAUAUAUUUUUAAAAUAGUAAAACUAUAUCUAAUUAUAAUAAAAAAAAACAUCGUAUUAUAGAAGUGAGACUUAUAGAUAUAAUUCGUGAUAACUUCUAUCUACCGUAAAUAGUAAUAACAUACAUAAAUUUAAUAAAAUUCAAAAUAAAUAUCAUCAAGUUUAAGCUCAAUUGAAGUCAAAGAAAGUGUUUAAAAUUACACGACUUUAGAACAUCGAUAAAGAUAUGUUGAUCGAAAACUUGUAAAAUAAGAAUUCUGGUGAUAUUGCGAUUACCGCAAAUAUCAUAAUUUUUUGAAGAUAUUAACAGAAAUGUAUUAUUGCCAUUAUAUUGCAUUACUUAUUACUCGUGCAUUUAAAUUUGGAAGAUUAAAAAUAUUUACUACUAAGUGAUAUCAUAUAAAUAUUUACUACUAUUACUACUAUAUUUACUACUAUUUACUACUAAUUUACUACUAAAAAAUACUAACAACAUACAGAGAAUAAAUCGAUUACGUAUUUAUUCAGUGAUUUACAAAAUAAUUUCAUCAUUGAAGAAUUUUAUGAACAUGAAUUACAUAUCGCUUGUAUAUCUUUAAAUGUAUAUCUAAUGCAGAAAGUUUUAUGUAAGAAAACGAAAUAUAUAUAAAAUAGUUAAGAUUCAAUACUUUUUAUAAUUUGUCGAUAAACUAAAAUGUAAUUUAAAUAAAAAGAUUUUAUUAAAUUUAA